CCCCCAAAUAAACCUGACUCACACAAACCUAACUAGCUGUAGCAACUGCAGCAGCUGUUAACUUUGUGUUUAGUCUCGCGAGGCCACACGUGAAUUUUCGGCGAGAUUUCGUACGUCUGGCCUCACGAAACUAACUUGUGUGGGACUCCAUUUUAUCGUUGAAGAUGGGGUCAUAGUUUCUGGACAGUCUUAUCGCAAUUAGGCUAUUGGAUUACAAUAAGGGGAAAAGUUAGUGCAGCUAUUCAAAUUUUGUAUUUGUUUUGCAUAAUAAUGUCUUUAUUUUAUUGCUUUAUUUAUAGUCUGUAAUAAUGCUUGGCCCACUCUCCACUCUAUUCCCCACCCUGGCUUCUGGCUGGUAUAACUUAUUAAGACUCAUUAAGGCUCUUUUUUUUUAUUUAAAUAUGAACACCAAGGGGGUUCAAUUGCAAUUUUCUUCCUUAUGUCCUCUGGCCCAAAAAAAUGCCUUCACCAGUCUCCAGUGUCAGCUGUAUAAAUAGUUAUUUUAAUAUUAAGAGGUUUCAUCCUGAGGUGUGUGUAUUUCUAUUCCUAUGCAUUGUCAUGUGGUACAGACGGUGCCACCUACUAAUCUUCACCAUAGUUUAGAGAAGAUAUAAAAUGGAGGCCAUGAGGAGUGGUGACAUUGAACCCCUGUCUGACCGCCGCUCUCCUCCCCGUUCCAAUAUGCCCCCUGUGUGGCCACAGCGCGCCUCUGUGUGGUUUGCUUACAUGAUUUUCCCUUCAAAAAGUUCCCAUGAUGCACAGUGGUAAUCCAGCCGCUGUCUCAGCAGCCAACACAUCUGCCGCAAGCCAUCCCUUCGCAACUGCCUCCGCCAAUCAGUUGACUACCAACGAAUACAUGCAAUUGAUUCCAAUAAUAUCUGCAGAUCAUCUGAGUAGUCACAAGUACUUGACUCAAAUGUAGUUCCUCUCAAGAACAAUCAAAUGAAUGUGUGCUGGUGCCGUCCACGCCAAACUAGUUCAGCCUUUAUGUACAUAACAUUCGGGAAUGUCCAGUGCCGGGAGAGGAGCCAAGGUGCUGUCUCCGAGAGCGACCCCCCCUCUCCUACCUCCCUCUCCCUAACCCCUAACCCCCCCACCCCCACCCUCAAGGACGAUGGUCGUCGUAGUAACGCAUGUCAUCUAUCUUGGGUGCAACCCACUUGGUCCCGGCGCCACCAAUGCCCCACAUAUCAGUAUCAAGAGGUGUGGACGCCACCAACCAACCAACAACCUCCUCCCCAUUGGCUGGGAGAUUUACCCUGUUGCCUACACAGCAGAAGACAUUUUGGUGAAACGCGGGGGGGGGAGGUGGGCGUCAGUGUGUCUUAUAUCACAGAGGGCUCAUCCUCUUUUCUUUUUUUUAUUUUACACAUUACACCUCUGUCUCCGGCAAAUUUGGAGCACUCAAAUUGACGUUUUGGUUAUUCUUAUUAUGAGUAUGGAUUCCCAUCGUGCUCAUAGUCUUUUACUGCACCAAUAGCAGGACAAGAGCGAGGUUUGCGUUUAGAUUUGGGUAGACAAUGCUGGUACGUUUGUAGAUGAGAAAGAUUUUGUCUCCACUUUUUUUUUUUUUUCACGAUUUUCUAAACAAUAGCCAUAAACAUAUAAUUUACAAAAAUAAAUGCCAACAUGCACCUUGAAUAUAAAAAAAAAAAAGGAAAAGCACCAAAAAACGUUUUUUAUUUGCCAAAUCCUGUUCAGCAUGCGCAGUUUGGUUUGUAUUUGUGUUUCCUUUUGGUGGCGACUAGUGGAACUAGACUAGAAAUGAGGGUCUUGGACAUACGAAUGUUCUGGGUAAACCAACACACGUGUACUUUGAAAGCACAGCCAGGCUUGCUACUCCUCCUUGUAUCCCGUGCCAUCAACCCCCACCACCCCCCCAUACAGCUCGUUCCUACAGAGUGUUCUCACAGCAGUGUUAUUAGGUUUUACCGAAGGUAUACGCAUUGUACGUUUGCAAUGUGUUUUAUUUUUUUUCCAGUGUUGCAGCAUCAAUUAAUUAUGUUUGUGUCUCUUUUUUUUUGCCUGAUGCGUAGUUUAGUGGGGUUCAGGGAAAUUGGUCCUCAUGACGAGUUUAGUUGUUUUUCAUUCAUAACUCGGUUUCUUUUGGGUUUUUUUCCGACGAUUUUCUCCCAUCUUUUCUUCAUUUCUCCCUCCGGUACUCGUUUCUUGCCUGUUUUUGCCUUGGGGUUUUAUCACGUUGAGUGUUUGUCAGUUGGGACACUGGGACUCUGAAGCCUGGUGCUGCGAUGGAGUUGAGCUGAAGGUGUUACCCCCCACCCCACCCUACCCAUUUUAAAGAAGAGGGACUUUAAUACUGUGUCUGUGAGCAGCACUGGUCCAACACGUUGAUCACAUGAUGUAAAAACAAACCCUCUGAUAGGUCACUUCAAAUACCAGUGCACUUAAAGGAUCACAGCUCACCCUCGAUUCAAUUACACAGCAGAGAUUGACUAAUUCAUACGUGUGAUGGCAUGAUGAGGCCUCAUCAAUUUGACCGGUCUUUCUAUGGAUAGAAACUACUCCUAACGUGUUUUCAUUCACCGAUUCAUCAUCAUACUAUAAAAACCAAAGCACAGUUGUACUAUAUAUUUUUUCUCAAUCAUAUUCAUAAGAGUUACUGACGCAUGUUCUAAGAUAUUUUAAAACUAUUAGCGAGAAAACAUGUUUAUCUUAUCAUUCGAAUGAGCCGAAUACGGGCUCUUUCCAUUUUCCCCCAGAGGUGUGUGUUUGUGUCUUCAACGAUUGUAUUGUACCUAACGAAGCCUUAGAUUAACAUGUGUGGUUCGUGUCCAAUGUACCUCCAAUCACAGUGCAGGUAACGAACACCAAUGACAUUUUAUAGUCCAUGUGCCGCUAAAAGAUCUCUCUUUUUCUUCUCCCUUGUUUUCCCGCUAUGUAAAGGUAACAAUUAAUCUCUCUUAAAAAUUUUGCAUUGAUUUUAUGUGUUACGUACUACUUAAGAAUUUGAAUCUAUUUGAGGUAUGUAGUUGUAGAUUUUCCUUUUUUUUGCCUUACUAUAUAUUACUUGACAACAUUGGUAUAGCAGUUGUAGAUUUUUGAGAUAGUAUGACAUUCAUAACUUUUUUCAAACCAUAUAAUUUCAUAUAGCUGGAUGUGUUUUUUGUUUUGUUUGUGUUACAUUGUCUAUUAAUAGAUAAUUGAUGAAAGAGUUUUUUACAAGGAAUGAAAUCAAUUAAUUUGCUGCAAACGUGCGGCAACACAAAAAACGUGUACGUUUAACCAAGCGACAUUUUAAUCUGACUCGCGACACGUCAAGGUGGUGUUUGAAGAUUAUAUUGUAUUGAGAUAUAGUUUUGUUUUUCCAUGUUUUAGACUAAGAUUAUUUUCUACUGUAUCCAUUUCAAACAAAAAGAGACACGUCAUAUUGUUUAAAUAUUUCUUAAGUUUGCCCUGAAUAUCAGGUCAAAGCGAACAGUGAGAUGGACGGGUCUUAGUGUGUGUGUCUUGUGGAGAGGGAACUUUAGGAGUGAGAGAAAGACUUUAGCCAGACGGGUGAAGUCAGAUAUGCUGCAGCUGAUGAGUUCAUCACCUAAGGGUGGCGAAGGUUGACUUUUUGCACUUCUGUAUAUAGUCAAAUGAACAGAGAAGAACAUGUAUCAUACUGAGAUAUUAUUUUGAAUAAUAAAAAAAAGAUCUAUAAUUAUAAGGAAUUUUGUUAGAUUAAUUUAAAAUUGUUAAAUUAGAAGACCAGCUAAAAAAAGAAAGAAAAAACAAACGCUUGCAAAGAAGGGCACUAGUUUCUUGGCCAAACGCAUUGAGAGAAAGCAACGCUUUUAUAGCUUAUUUGGUUAGUCGGCUUGCAUUGCCAGGGAAUGUUGUUGGGAGGCGGGGUGUGUCACGCACUCCUCUUAGGAACACAUACACCCAACGAUGUCCAAGCAAACCAUUGUGUUGGACUUAUAGUAUAUACAGUUGAGACAGCACACUAUCCAGAUGGGUUAUUUCUAGUAUUUUCCGGGGUUUGACUGCAUGUGAAACUACACACCUAUACAGAACAAAAUAAACCGUACCAUAGAUAAGUAAGGAAAGUUAACACACUCAGAUGACAUUAAACACAUUAGCGUAUUUUUGAUACACUAACAGUCGAGGUCAUCCACUGUUGGCGUAAAAAAAAGAAAGAAUAAUACUUUAAAUAAAAACAAGUCAUGUUACUCGUGUUAUAAACAAGUUUUUAUUUUAUUUCAACCAGCCAUAUUAUUCAGAAGGUGAUUCAGUAUUGGCAGCACCCAUACACCCCUGGUAUAUCUUUGCUUUAUCUCAGCCAUAUGUUAACACCCAACGUUGACUUACAGGAAUAUAUUCCUCCAAUCAUAGCUGUGCGCUCAGCAGGUGAAGGCUCACCACCGUAAACACACUUUGGCAAUGAAGUUGUCUUCAAAAUGAAUGUAACUGUCUCUGCAGUCAAGGGCAAAUACAAAAACACCUUUUCAACCUGAGGUCACUGUAAAGUUGCUACAGAACCAAAGCAUCAUUUUAUUUUGUUUUAUUUCUUAUGUUUUAUUUUGUUUUUUUUCGAACCGGGCCGAGCAGUUUGGGCAGACGUCCCGCUGUUGUCUUAAACGAAAGGUUUUCUUCCCUGCUGGGAUGCACGCUUUGACCGCUUUUUACUCGUAGGUGCAAAUACCACUUACAUACCUUCUAAUAGUUGCCACACAAUGUUGUACUAUUUUGUGUCCAGGUUUGUUUAUGCACAUUUUAUUGUUGCCAUGAUUGACUCUUGCUGUAUGGAUUUAAAAAAAAAUGAAUAAAAUAAAAAAUUGGAUUUGCUCAUGCAA